GACGAACGCUGGCGGCGUGCUUAACACAUGCAAGUCGAACGGAAAGGCUCCAGCUUGCUGGAGUACUCGAGUGGCGAACGGGUGAGUAACACGUGGGUAAUCUGCCCUGCACUCUGGGAUAAGCCUGGGAAACUGGGUCUAAUACUGGAUAUGACCUUUCUCCUUAUGGGGUUUGGUGGAAAGUUUUUCGGUGUAGGAUGAGCCCGCGGCCUAUCAGCUUGUUGGUGGGGUGAUGGCCUACCAAGGCGACGACGGGUAGCCGGCCUGGGAGGGUGAUCGGCCACAUUGGGACUGAGAUACGGCCCAGACUCCUACGGGAGGCAGCAGUGGGGAAUAUUGCACAAUGGGCGGAAGCCUGAUGCAGCGACGCCGCGUGGGGGAUGACGGCCUUCGGGUUGUAAACCUCUUUGAGCAGGGACGAAGCGUAAGUGACGGUACCUGCAGAAGAAGCACCGGCUAACUAUGUG
rnacentral:rRNA from 1 species